GGACCCGCACAAGUAGUGGAGCAUGUGGUUUAAUUCGAAGAUACGCGCAGAACCUUACCAACACUUGACAUGUUCGUCGCGACUUUAAGAGAUUAAAGUUUUCGGUUCGGCCGGACGAAACACAGGUGCUGCAUGGCUGUCGUCAGCUCGUGUCGUGAGAUGUUGGUUAAGUCCCGCAACGAGCGCAACCCUCACUUUUAGUUGCCAUCAUUAAGUUGGGCACUCUGAAAAGAACUGCCAGUGAUAAGCUGGAGGAAGGUGGGGAUGACGUCAAGUCCUCAUGGCCCUUACGUGUUGGGCUACACACGUGCUACAAUGGUAUCUACAACAGGAAGCAAGACGGUGACGUCAAGCAAAA
rnacentral:rRNA from 1 species